rnacentral:rRNA from 1 species
UGACGUUACCCGCAGAAGAAGCACCGGCUAACUCCGUGCCAGCAGCCGCGGUAAUACGGAGGGUGCAAGCGUUAAUCGGAAUUACUGGGCGUAAAGCGCACGCAGGCGGUUGAUUAAGUCAGAUGUGAAAUCCCCGGGCUCAACCUGGGAACUGCAUCUGAUACUGGUCAGCUUGAGUCUCGUAGAGGGGGGUAGAAUUCCAGGUGUAGCGGUGAAAUGCGUAGAGAUCUGGAGGAAUACCGGUGGCGAAGGCGGCCCCCUGGACGAAGACUGACGCUCA